rnacentral:rRNA from 1 species
UACGUAGGGUGCGAGCGUUGUCCGGAAUUAUUGGGCGUAAAGGGCUCGUAGGCGGUCUGUCACGUCGGGAGUGAAAACACGGGGCUUAACCCCGUGCCUGCUUCCGAUACGGGCAGACUAGAGGUAUGCAGGGGAGAACGGAAUUCCUGGUGUAGCGGUGAAAUGCGCAGAUAUCAGGAGGAACGCCGGUGGCGAAGGCGGUUCUCUGGGCAUUACCUGACGCUGAGGAGCGAAAGUGUGGGGAGCGAACAGG